AGGGAGUGGUGAGCAGCCUGGCCCUGCAUCCCUCUGGUUUCUACUAGUGAACUCUGUGCUGGGGAGACAGUAUGGGCACCCAGAGAGGCCUCUUGAGUGUCCCCCCCCUCACCGAUACAAAUGUCCAUGGCUUCAAAGAAUUAUGAAUGACACUCAUCAAAUUGCAAGAGACCCACAUGACAUCUGAUGAUACAUGGUGAAACCUUUCAUGGCUACAGGACACAGGUUUAUUAGAAACUGUGGUCAAAUGGACUUUUUAAAUUCUAGGAAUUAUCUUUUCCAGAUUUUUCCUUAGUUGUUACAUUAAAGUUUAUGCACUUA